rnacentral:rRNA from 1 species
UACAGAGGGUGCUAGCGUUGUUCGGAAUCAUUGGGCGUAAAGGGCGUGUAGGCGGUUUGUUAAGUUCAUGUGUGAAAUCCCUCGGCUCAACCGGGGGAAGGACGCAUGAAACUGGCAAGCUAGAGUACCAAAGAGGGGGGUGGAAUUCCCGGUGGUAGCGGUGAAAUGCGUAGAUAUCGGGAGGAACACCUGUGGCGAAGGCGGCCCCCUGGUGGAUACUGACGCUGAUACGCGAAAGCGUGGGGAGCAAAC